GUCCACGCCGUAAACGGUGGGAACUAGAUGUGGGGUCCGUUCCACGGAUUCCGUGUCGCAGCUAACGCAUUAAGUUCCCCGCCUGGGGAGUACGGCCGCAAGGCUAAAACUCAAAGGAAUUGACGGGGGCCCGCACAAGCGGCGGAGCAUGCGGAUUAAUUCGAUGCAACGCGAAGAACCUUACCAAGGCUUGACAUAUAGAGGAAAAGUGUAGAAAUACACUCCCCGCAAGGUCUCUAUACA
rnacentral:rRNA from 1 species